AGAGUCAUGUUUCUUACAUCAUCAUAUAAGAUAACUACAACCUAUACUUCAUUUGAUUGUAUCCAGAUUACAAAGGUUGGUGGCCUUAUAAUGGUGAAGUUCUUACAGGUCAUUUGCACGCAAAACAUUCUAAAUAUGCAAACAUAUUGACAAAUAAGCAUACAGAAAAUUAAUAUUCUGAAUCUUUGUAAUAAAAGUAAAGUUGGGGUUAGACAAUAAUUACAACAUGUAUUAAUAGAAAUGAAAGCAAUUAUUCCCAAAUAAAGUCACUUAGUUCAAAGCGCGGGCCUGAGUUAAGUUGAACAAGCCAUUUUUUGUUGUAACUUCAAGAUUGUAGUGAGCUUUUAGUAGUGGCUCAUGAGCCCUGUAAAAGACAAAGAGAAGCAUAAAAGCAAACCUAUCAAUUUAACAAGAAAUUUGGCACUUCCAACCUAAACAAAAUUCUUGAACAUCAAAAUUUAAUUUUUUGGAAAAAAAUUAUAGUAAUUCCAACAAAUCAAGACUGGAAUUAAAUUGCAAAAAGAAAUUAUCUGCCGCAUGUUUUUCCACUAACCCUUGUAUUGUUAUCGCCAUAUUAACCAGAAUAAACCAAACCUUCACAUUGAUUUCAAGAGCCACAUUUUAAAAACACUACAUAUUGACUAUUGAGCCUUGAUGCCCGCUUAGGCUAACAGCAUUGUGAAACAAUCCGAACUUCCGUUUCGAUCUGUUGUUUUUAAAUCCAAUGAUUGUAUUGGAUAAAGGAUAAAAACUGUGGUAUGUUACCACAAUUGCAACGUAGGUAAGUCCUUAUAUAUAAUAUGAUAUCCUAAAGUCAUAAAUACAUCCAACGUGGGACCAUAAAAAAUGAAAAUUAGAGAACAACGGUAGGUUGUUUAUGCUUUUUUUGGGGCCAAAAAAAAGGAAAAUUUACGAGAAUAGUGCAAAAGUAAUGGUGGCCCACCAAACACGCAUUUAUUUGACUUUUGUAUUACUUUUAAAAAUUAUUUCCGUACCAUUUUUUUCAUAUGUGUAUUUAAUCACAAUAAAAUUUUGAUAUAUUCUUUAUACUAUUUUUAUUUUUAAGCUUCUAUCAAUCAAUUACUUUUAUACUAAAAAUAAUUUUAUUCUUAAAUAAAUUAAAAAUUAUUUUAUUCUAUAAAAUAUUAAAAAAUAAAAAAAUUAUAAUUACAAAAAUACUUUAAAUUUAAUAAAACAAAUAAACAUCAAAAUUUAAGAUGAUAAUUUUUUAAUGAAAUUAUAAUUAUAAAAAUUAAUAUCUUGUAAUUAUAAUUUCAUUUAAUUUUUGUAAGUAAAUUAAAUAUAGGAAAGUUUACAAAAAUUAACAUAAUGAGAAAAGCUUUGUAAUUGUUGUAACUUCUUUAUAAUUAAUAUUAAAAAACUUUCUUAUACAAAUUAAAGAAAGUUAUAAUUACAAAAAAUAAUAUGACAAUUUUUUAAAUAAAAUUAUAAUUAUAAAAAAAUUAACAUAUUGAAUUUGAGAUUUAUUUAUUUUAUUAAAUUUAGAAGUAUUUUUAUUAUAAUUUUUUCAAAAUUUUAUAAAAUAACAUAAUUUUUUAAUUCAUUUAAGAGUCAAAUUUAGUGCCUAGUUGAUUGAGAUAAGUUUAAAAAUAAAAAUAAUGUAAAAAACACGUUAAAAUUUUAUAGUGAUUAAAAGUAUGGAUAAUAAAACAUAAAUAGUGAAGAGUCUUCACUAUUUAUGUUUUCACUGAAGUACUUGUGUAUGCAAGUUUUGAAGUACUUGGCAUAUGAGAAUUGGCAUCUGGUAGUAGUGAUCGUAGGGUCGUGCCCAUAUCUUAAGAACGAUGAAACAUUAAAGCAUGAUUGAAUGGCAAUUCAUAGGCUGUCAUGCUGAACAUGCACUGAUAUGACUCUUCACUGAAGACAUAAUAAAACACAAAUAGUGGGGCGGUACAACAGUGGUUUUAUAUAGGGUUGGUAAUUUAAGGGUAUGGGCCGGGCUUUGCCAAGCUCAGGACCAGGCCCAUAUAAUGUUAAAUAAGUCCAGGCCCUCUUAAAGUCUAUAUAAGUUGAGCGGGCUUUGGGCGGGCCGGGUCUUGACGGGCCUGGACCGGGCCCGGGCUUUUACGAAAUUUUAAAUUUUUUAAAAAAAAAAAAAAUUAUAAAUUUUCAAAAUAUAAUUAACCAAUACAUAAUACUACAAUAGGCUAAAAACUUAAAUAUAAUUCUCUAAUACAUGAUUAGCAACACAAAAUAUAAAAAUACUAACAAUACAAAUACCGUACACAACGUACAAAUCAACCACUAAUAUAAAAAAAAAAAACUAAUAGAGAUUUACCGAUUUAGGAAUUUUGACAUUUUGUGACAAAACAUUUGCCCUUUCCCUUUGCCCGAUUUUUUUAUUAUUUUGUUUAAUUAUUUUUUCAAUUUUAUAAUAUAUUAUACAUUUUUUAAUAUGUACGGUACAGCAGUUUCUGUCAACCCUAGUUUUAUACCACUUCUUUUGGUCUUUUGUGAUAAAUUUUCAUAUAACCUCUUUCACUUAUUUUUAUUUAAAUUUUAUUUUAUAAAUAUUAAGUUAAUUUUUACUACAUCCAUAUGAAUCCUUUAACGGCCAAUUAACAGCAAAUUGGCUCUCCCGGUGGCUGUGGUUGGUUGGAAAAAAUAGAGGAAAUUGUGAGGAACAAAACCUAAAUGGUGCCGUCACCGGAAACUAGCGAAAUCACGGCGAUUGAAGCAACGAUUCUGCGACUUUUCACGACUUUGAUCGGUAGUUUUCUGAAUAUUUUCCGGCGACAAAGAUGACAUAGAGAUUAUCGGUGUUAUAUGAGCUUCCGAUCAAUACCAACGUUGGCCAAUGGAGUGUUUGAGGCAUACGGAUCGGCUUCGUGAGUUCGGGUCGACCUGAUUUUUUUGGAUUAAUUAUAUAAUCUCAAAAUUAUAAAGAGAGGGGUAUUAUGAUAUAUGUACAAUAUAGAAUAAAAAUUUAUAAAUAAUAAAUAGUAUAAGGUGUUAACUAAAAUGUUUAUAUGGAUGCCGUAGAAAUUAACUUAAUAUUUGUGAAAUAAAGUUUAAAUAAAAAUAAAUAAAAGGAGUUAUAUAAAUAAUUAUCACAAAAGAUUAAAAAAAGUAGUAUGGUACUACUUUUGUACCGUAGCUGAACCCCCAAAUAGUGAAGGGAUAAUUUUCCCAAUAUUUUCUUUUAAAGAGAAAUGGGAAAUAAAAAAUAAUAUCAAUCACACACCUUUUCCAUGCUUUUUGACAAUUGACCGCAUAAGAUAGACAGCCAGUAGUUUCCGUUCAACUUAAAUUUCUUGUCUUUAUUCAUUCAUUUACGAUCUCC
rnacentral:lncRNA from 1 species